AUACGUAGGUGACAAGCGUUAUCCGGAUUUACUGGGCGUAAAGGGCGUGUAGGCGGUCUUGCAAGUCAGAAGUGAAAUUCCUGAGCUCAACUCGGGCGCUGCUUCUGAAACUGCAGGACUUGAGUGCUGGAGGGGAUAGCGGAAUUCCUAGUGGAGCGGUAAAAUGCGCAGAUAUUAGGAAGAACACCGGUGGCGAAGGCGGCUAUCUGGACAGUAACUGACGCUGAGGCGCGAAAGCGUGGGGAGCAAACAGGAUUAGAUACCCUGGUAGUCCACGCAGUAAACGAUGAUGGCUAACCGCUGGUUUAUUCGGAUCAGUGGCCAAGCGAAAGCGAUAAGCCAUCCACCUGGGGAGUACGACCGCAAGGUUGAAACUCAAAUGAAUUGGCGGGG
rnacentral:rRNA from 1 species